rnacentral:rRNA from 1 species
GACGAACGCUGGCGGCGUGCUUAACACAUGCAAGUCGAACGGAAAGGCCUGCUUUCCCUUGUGGAUUGCGGGUACUCGAGUGGCGAACGGGUGAGUAACACGUGAGUGAUCUGCCCCCAACUUGGGUAUAAGCCUGGGAAACUGGGUCUAAUUCCCGGUAGGACUGCAGGGUGGUGCCUGUGGUGGAAAACGAUUUUCUAGUGGUUGGGGAUGAGCUCGCGGCCUAUCAGCUUGUUGGUGGGGUAAUGGCCUACCAAGGCGGCGACGGGUAGCCGGCCUGAGAGGGUGGACGGCCACAUUGGGACUGAGAUACGGCCCAGACUCCUACGGGAGGCAGCAGUGGGGAAUAUUGCACAAUGGGCGGAAGCCUGAUGCAGCGACGCCGCGUGGGGGAUGACGGCCUUCGGGUUGUAAACUCCUUUCGACCGCGAGGAAGCCACCUGGUUGGAAGGGUGGUGACGGUAGUGGUAGAAGAAGCACCGGCUAACUACGUG